rnacentral:SRP_RNA from 2 species
GCCGGGUGUGGUGACUCACACCUGUAAUCCCAGCACUCUGGGAGGCUGAGGCAGGAGGAUCGCUUGAGCCCAGGAGUUUGAGACCAGCCUGGGCAACAUAGUGGGACCCUGUCUCUG